UACGUAGGUGGCAAGCGUUGUCCGGAAUUACUGGGUGUAAAGGGAGCGUAGGCGGGGAUGCAAGUUGAAUGUAUAAACGGCCGGCUCAACCGGCCGAAGCGUUCAAAACUGCAUUUCUUGAGUGGAGUAGAGGCAGGCGGAAUUCCUAGUGUAGCGGUGAAAUGCGUAGAUAUUAGGAGGAACACCAGUGGCGAAGGCGGCCUGCUGGGCUCUAACUGACGCUGAGGCUCGAAAGCGUGGGUAGCAAACAGG
rnacentral:rRNA from 1 species